UAAGGCAUAGUAGAGUCAGACUGCAGUAAGAGAUAUGUCCAUGGUAUGGAGCUGUUUGAUAAAUGCUGUUGCAGGGUUUGUUGUAACACACCCUAAACUGUACCUACUAAAGUCAAUAGGAAUUUUUUACUGUACCUACAGGCAAUGAAUAAGGUCUAGAUUCUUUACAUUGCUUUUGCAAUGUGCUGUGCUCCCUGCAAUUGUGUGUGUUCACAAAUGCACACAGACACGUUUGCUAUUACGACAUAAAUGUGGGAUAGAAUUCUCUGCCUCCACACCCACACAUCAACCAGAAUGAGUUACUGUGCACCUUUCACAUGUCAGGACGUACAGCCUUUGUUAUCCAAGCUGCAUUAAAAUCACAGCUCCAACAUUUUGAUUUAGAAAAGAGUUUAAUCCUGUGCCAGCUUUAAGCAUCAACAUGUUUCUGUCAGAAAGCUAUGGUUGUAAUUUAAAAACAACUGGAAGAAGAAACAAGACAAUAGAAAAAUAGCCAGCAAAAGCACACUACAUCCAAUAUUAAUCAGUAAAGUCCACAAUAGAAAAUCUUUUGCUAAAAGCAGAAGAUUACAUCUCCUAAAUUACUCCUGUAUUUGAACCACAGUAAUAAACUGCAUAUGACAGUGUUGUUACUUU